rnacentral:rRNA from 1 species
UGGGGAAUAUUGGACAAUGGGCGAAAGCCUGAUCCAGCAAUGCCGCGUGGAUGAAGAAGGUCUUCGGAUUGUAAAGUCCUUUCGGCGGGGACGAUGAUGACGGUACCCGCAGAAGAAGCCCCGGCUAACUUCGUGCCAGCAGCCGCGGUAAUACGAAGGGGGCUAGCGUUGCUCGGAAUGACUGGGCGUAAAGGGCGCGUAGGCGGUCUGGUAUGUCAGGCGUGAAAUUCCUGGGCUCAACCUGGGGACUGCGUUUGAAACGGCUGGGCUUGAGUGUGGAAGAGGGUCGUGGAAUUCCCAGUGUAGAGGUGAAAUUCGUAGAUAUUGGGAAGAACACCGGUGGCGAAGGCGGCGACCUGGUCCAUUACUGACGCUGAGGCGCGAAAGCGUGGGGAGCAAACA